rnacentral:rRNA from 1 species
ACAUAUUUUAGUGCUAUGUUCAAUUUGGAAAAAGUACCUAACUUACUUUUAAGUCUAGAAUAUAUAAAAUUUAAUCAACUAUAAAGAAUCAUUUAAAUGAAAUGCACCCAUGGAGAACUCUCGUAUAAACAGCACCUUGAUCUAAUUUUUUUUUCAAAAAAUUAAGAUAAUUUUUUGUCAAAAAUUUCUUGAAAUGACGAUAUACAAAUUUAAAAUAACGAGAGAAAGAUUUUCUCGUGGAAUAUCGAUUACAACACAGGUUUCCCUAAAGAGAUGUAAAAUACCGUCAAAUUUUUUGGGUUUCG